AGAGUUUGAUCCUGGCUCAGAGUGAACGCUGGCGGCGUGCCUAAUACAUGCAAGUCGAACGAUGAAGCUCUAGCUUGCUAGAGUGGAUUAGUGGCGCACGGGUGAGUAAUGCAUAGAUAACAUGCCCUUUAGUCUAGGAUAGCCAUUGGAAACGAUGAUUAAUACUGGAUACUCCUUACGAGGGAAAGUUUUUCGCUAAAGGAUUGGUCUAUGUCCUAUCAGCUUGUUGGUGAGGUAAUGGCUCACCAAGGCUAUGACGGGUAUCCGGCCUGAGAGGGUGAACGGACACACUGGAACUGAGACACGGUCCAGACUCCUACGGGAGGCAGCAGUAGGGAAUAUUGCUCAAUGGGGGAAACCCUGAAGCAGCAACGCCGCGUGGAGGAUGAAGGUUUUCGGAUUGUAAACUCCUUUUGUUAGAGAAGAUAAUGACGGUAUCUAACGAAUAAGCACCGGCUAACUCCGUGCCAGCAGCCGCGGU
rnacentral:rRNA from 1 species